rnacentral:misc_RNA from 1 species
GAUUACUGGUCUCAGUGGUUCAGGUUUGUUAAGUGUUUUUGUUUUUUGAAAUGAUUAUUAGUUUCUGUUGUAGUGCUUUUUGCGAUAAAAUAAUAGCUAAUUUGCUUCAUUGGCCUCAAGUAAGAACACAAGGCAUGUUAUUUGUGUAUGAUUUCUGCUUGCAAUAAAGUUAUCGCAACCCAUGUUGUACAAUUAGUGAUUCAACUCCAAAUUUCGCCUACCCCUUUCUCCCAUUGAACAAUGGAGUGAAAUUUGCAUAAAUAGUGAUCAAAGUAGUGCUUUUUGAUGUUUUAUAAUUUCUGUGUCAUAAAUAAAUUUGCUAAAAUUCAUGCUAUCUUUUGACUGAUGAGGCUUGAUGCCAUCCAGAAAAUCUGUUGACUAGGAUAGGAAGGCAUGAUCCAUGCUAUGAGAUUGCUACGUGUUAAGACAUUGGUACAAUGAGACCAAUGCAAAAUAUGAAUUCCAAAUGGGUAGUCGAAAGCACCAUACAGAAACUUAAGGCAGUUUGUUUAUAAUUAUGUGACUUAUGAUAAUUCUCUAGGGCAAACUAAAUAUAGUAUUUAUUCUAAAAUCAAGUGCAACUUUAUGAACAACUGGUACAUAAUUCUCAGGUUAUCCAGUUGUGUCUAUUGACAGUGUAAUGACUGAUCUGAUCUUUGAGGAAUCUAUUGUUUAACCGUGAAAAGUGAAAACUAAGAAUUUUACAUACUUCAUAUAUGGAGUACUGAACUUCUAAUGCAACUGUAAGCAUGUUCAAAAUUUAGGCAUUUGUCAGGGCCAAAGAAUUUCUAGCAUACCUUGCGCACUCUGAUGUUUUGGAGUCUUACCUUUUGCUAUUCCUAAUCCUAAAUCAUUGUUCAUUCUCUCUGUUAAACUGUUACCUCAGGAAAAAGCACUUUGGCAUG